ACGAUAGUAACCGAAACGCGGGUGAUCUACGAUGUUUUCGAAAAGCAACUGGUGAUAAAGUCACGUUACAGCUCACGGUAUACAGGAUGUCUGCAAGUGUAAAUAUGAGAUUUCUUAGAAAUCGUGCCAUUUUUUCUGGACACCCGAUAUCGAUCAGCCUGGCCGAUAUCCGUACGUGCGAGCCACGAAAACCAAUAUAAAAACCAUGCAGCGCGAUAAGAUGAAAGUGCUCGCGCCUGGCUACAGGUGCAUCCAACUUUGGCAAUGAAUGCUAAAUCACAAGAAGCGAAAAAAUCGAUCGAACACGAUCUCGGUUACGACCUGAAUUUAGAACGAGGGGAAUGUCAUUUACUCUCUAGAAGUCUCUGGAAACACUUUACAUCACGUGUGAAAGUGUCACUUAAAGUAGAUUAUAUUAAUAUCUUAAAUCUUUUAGGAAUGACCUAAUGUCGAC